AGGCCAUGAUGGGGACACUUGCGUAAUAGCUCCUUGAACCUUUCCCAUGUUUCAUAUAAGGAUUCCCCGUCCUCUUGUGAGUAUGUGAUAAUUUCAGCCAUUAAUUU
rnacentral:snoRNA from 1 species